rnacentral:rRNA from 1 species
CCCUUAGAUGUUCUGGGCCGCACGCGCGCUACACUGACGAAUGCAACGAGCUUAUAACCUUGGCCGAAAGGUCUGGGUAAUCUCCAAAUUUCGUCGUGAUGGGGAUAGAUUAUUGCAAUUAUUAAUCUUCAACGAGGAAUGCCUAGUAAGCGCAAGUCAUCAGCUUGCGUUGAUUACGUCCCUGCCCUUUGUACACACCGCCCGUCGCUACUACCGAUUGAAUGAUUUAGUGAGGACUUCGGACUGGGACCGAUGCGGCUUUCGGGCUGCAUCGGUAUUCUGGAAAGAUGUCCAAACUGUAUCAUUUAGAGGAAGUAAAAGUCGUAACA